CCAAUAGCGUAUAUUAAGGUUGUUGCAGUUAAAAAGCUCGUAGUUGAAUUUCGGGAUUAGUACGUUGGUCGUGCCUUCGGUACGUACUGGUGUUACUGAUUCCUACCUUCUGAAGAACCCUCAUGUCAUUAAUUUGGUGUGGCGGGGAAUCAGGACUGUUACUUUGAAAAAAUUAGAGUGUUUAAAGCAGGCUCGCGCUUGAAUACAUUAGCCUGGAAUAAUGAAAUAGGACGUUGAUCCUAUUUUGUUGGUUUCUAGGAUUGACGUAAUGAUUAAUAGGGAUAGUUGGGGGCAUUAGUAUUCAAUUGUCAGAGGUGAAAUUCUUGGAUUUAUUGAAGACUAACUACUGCGAAAGCAUUUGCCAAGGAUGUUUUCAUUAAUCAAGAACGAAAGUUAGGGGAUCGAAGACGAUCAGAUACCGUCGUAGUCUUAACCAUAAACUAUGCCGACUAGGGAUCGGAUGAUGUUAUUUUUAAUGACUCAUUCGGCGCCUUACG
rnacentral:rRNA from 1 species